rnacentral:rRNA from 1 species
AGCGAACGCUGGCGGCAGGCCUAACACAUGCAAGUCGAACGGCUCUUCGGAGCAGUGGCGGACGGGUGAGUAACACGUGGGAACGUGCCCUUUGGUACGGAACAACUGAGGGAAACUUCAGCUAAUACCGUAUGUGCCCCCAUUCUUAGCGGGAUGGGUGGGAAAGACUUAUCGCCAUUGGAGCGGCCCGCGUUGGAUUAGCUAGUUGGUGGGGUAAAGGCCCACCAAGGCUACGAUCCAUAGCUGGUCUGAGAGGAUGAUCAGCCACACUGGGACUGAGACACGGCCCAGACUCCUACGGGAGGCAGCAGUAGGGAAUCUUGCGCAAUGGGCGAAAGCCUGACGCAGCCAUGCCGCGUGAAUGAUGAAGGUCUUAGGAUUGUAAAAUUCUUUCACCGGGGAAGAUAAUGACGGUACCCGGAGAAGAAGCCCCGGCUAACUUCGUGCCAGCCGCCGCAGUAA